rnacentral:rRNA from 1 species
ACCAAGCUUCCAGGAAAAGCCACUAAGCUUCAGUCUAGAGUUGACCGUACCGCAAACCGACACAGGUGGGCAGGAUGAAAAUUCUAAGGCGCUUGAGAGAACUCAGGAGAAGGAACUCGGCAAAUUAACACCGUAACUUCGGGAGAAGGUGUGCCCCGGUAGCGUGUAGAGACUUGCUCUCGAAGCGCGAUGGGGUUGCAGUGAAAUGGUGGCUGCGACUGUUUAAUAAAAACACAGCACUCUGCAAACACGAAAGUGGACGUAUAGGGUGUGACGCCUGCCCGGUGCCGGAAGGUUAAGUGAUGGGGUGCAAGCUCUUGAUCGAAGCCCCGGUAAACGGCGGCCGUAACAAUAACGGUCCUAAGGUAGCGAAAUUCCUUGUCGGGUAAGUUCCGACCUGCACGAAUGGCGUAACGAUGGCCACACUGUCUCCUCCUGGGACUCAGCGAAGUUGAAAUGUUUGUGAAGAUGCAAUCUACCCGCGGCUAGACGGAAAGACCCCAUGAACCUUUACUGUAGCUUUGCAUUGGACUUUGAACCGGUUUGUGUAGGAUAGGUGGGAGACUGUGAAGCCGGGACGCUAGUUUCGGUGGAGUCAACCUUGAAAUACCACCCUGAUUUGUUUGAGGUUCUAACCUUGGUCCGUGAAUCCGGAUCGGGGACCGUGCAUGGUAGGCAGUUUGACUGGGGCGGUCUCCUCCCAAAAGGUAACGGAGGAGUACGAAGGUACGCUUAGGGCGGUCGGACAUCGCCCACAAAGUGCAAUGGCAAAAGCGUGCUUGACUGCGAGACCCACAAGUCGAGCAGGUACGAAAGUAGGUCAUAGUGAUCCGGUGGUUCUGUAUGGAAGGGCCAUCGCUCAACGGAUAAAAGGUACUCUGGGGAUAACAGGCUAAUUCCUCCCAAGAGUUCAUAUCGACGGGGGAGUUUGGCACCUCGAUGUCGGCUCAUCACAUCCUGGGGCUGUAGUCGGUCCCAAGGGUAUGGCUGUUCGCCAUUUAAAGUGGUACGCGAGCUGGGUUUAAAAGUCGUGAGACAGUUUGGUCCCUAUCUGCCGUGGGCGCUGGAAAUUUGAAGGGGGCUGCUCCUAGUACGAGAGGACCGGAGUGGACGAACCUCUGGUGUACCGGUUAUGACGCCAGUCGUAUCGCCGGGUAGCUAAGUUCGGAAGAGAUAAACGCUGAAAGCAUCUAAGCGUGAAACUCGCCUUAAGAUAAGAUUUCCCGGAGUCUUGAACUCCCUGAAGGGUCGUCGAAGACCACGACGUUGAUAGGUCAGGUGUGGAAGCGCAGCAAUGCGUUAAGCUAACUGAUACUAAUUGCCCGUGCGGCUUGAUCCU